UACAGAGGGUGCAAGCGUUAAUCGGAAUUACUGGGCGUAAAGCGUGCGUAGACGGUUAUGUAAGUCGGGUGUGAAAGCCCCGGGCUCAACCUGGGAAUGCCAUUCGAGACUGCAUAGCUAGGGUGCGGAAGAGGGAAGCGGAAUUUCCGGUGUAGCGGUGAAAUGCGUAGAUAUCAGGAGGAACACCGGUGGCGAAGGCGGGUCUCUGGGCCGUAACUGACGCUGAGGAGCGAAAGCAUGGGGAGCGAACAGG
rnacentral:rRNA from 1 species